rnacentral:rRNA from 1 species
GAUGAACGCUGGCGGCGUGCCUAAUACAUGCAAGUCGAGCGAACGGACGAGAAGCUUGCUUCUCUGAUGUUAGCGGCGGACGGGUGAGUAACACGUGGAUAACCUACCUAUAAGACUGGGAUAACUUCGGGAAACCGGAGCUAAUACCGGAUGAUAUUUUGAACCGCAUGGUUCAAAAGUGAAAGACGGUCUUGCUGUCACUUAUAGAUGGAUCCGCGCUGCAUUAGCUAGUUGGUAAGGUAACGGCUUACCAAGGCAACGAUGCAUAGCCGACCUGAGAGGGUGAUCGGCCACACUGGAACUGAGACACGCUCCAGACUCCUACGAGGAACAGCAGUAGGGAAACUUCCGCAAUAGGCGAAAUGCUAACAAAGCAACGCCGCGUGAGUGAUUAGAGUCUUCGGAUCGUAAAACUCUGUUAUUAGGGAAGAACAUAUGUGUAAGUAACUGUGCACAUCUUGACGAUACCUAAUCAGAAAGCCACGGCUAAGUACGUG